rnacentral:rRNA from 2 species
CGUCAUGCUGCACAUGCCGUCGAGCAUAUCUAGAUUAGAAGCUUGCUUCUAUGACGUUAGCGGCGGACGGGUGAGUAACACGUGGGCAACCUGCCUGUAAGACUGGGAUAACUCCGGGAAACCGGAGCUAAUACCGGAUAACAUUUUCUCUUGCAUAAGAGAAAAUUGAAAGAUGGUUUCGGCUAUCACUUACAGAUGGGCCCGCGGUGCAUUAGCUAGUUGGUGAGGUAACGGCUCACCAAGGCAACGAUGCAUAGCCGACCUGAGAGGGUGAUCGGCCACACUGGGACUGAGACACGGCCCAGACUCCUACGGGAGGCAGCAGUAGGGAAUCUUCCGCAAUGGACGAAAGUCUGACGGAGCAACGCCGCGUGAGUGAUGAAGGCUUUCGGGUCGUAAAACUCUGUUGUUAGGGAAGAACAAGUACAAGAGUAACUGCUUGUACCUUGACGGUACCUAACCAGAAAGCCACGGCUAACUACGUGCCAGCAGCCGCGGUAAUACGUAGGUGGCAAGCGUUAUCCGGAAUUAUUGGGCGUAAAGCGCGCGCAGGCGGUUUCUUAAGUCUGAUGUGAAAGCCCACGGCUCAACCGUGGAGGGUCAUUGGAAACUGGGGAACUUGAGUGCAGAAGAGAAAAGCGGAAUUCCACGUGUAGCGGUGAAAUGCGUAGAGAUGUGGAGGAACACCAGUGGCGAAGGCGGCUUUUUGGUCUGUAACUGACGCUGAGGCGCGAAAGCGUGGGGAGCAAACAGGAUUAGAUACCCUGGUAGUCCACGCCGUAAACGAUGAGUGCUAAGUGUUAGAGGGUUUCCGCCCUUUUAGUGCUGCAGCUAACGCAUUAAGCACUCCGCCUGGGGAGUACGGUCGCAAGGACUGAAACUCAAAGGAAUUGACGGGGGCCCGCACAAGCCGGUGGAGCAUGUGUUUUAUUUCGAAGCAACCGCGAGA